GCGCUGAUGACUGAGCUUGCCAAAGUACAGAAUGACUCUUAGCACUCUCUUCUCCCCAGAGAGGUUGCCAUUUAGCAGCAGGUCUCCUUGUGCACGUGCACAGCCUUUUGUAAUCAGCCAAGACUCAACCUGAAAGUCACGUGACCCCCGGAGAACCAUUCUCUUGAGUGAAGGACAGUCAAAAAGCUUUCUUAGAGGUAUGCGUAAAUUAAGGAUUUAUCUUCAACUGUCUUUCUACAAAACUUGUAAUGAAAAGAGCAGUAUUUCUCAAAAUGCAAGAAAUAUAGUCUCCCAACUAAAUUAUCAGGAGCCAUCAGUCUUCAAUUUGUAAAUGUGGAAGCAGAGCAGGGGAUGGGAAAAGAGGCAGGGAGCCCCUCUUCAGGGACAAGCCCUGCACCAGCCCAUGAGACCAGCUGCUUGCAAGGUGGCCAACACCUUACCUAAACUCAAACUCCACAAUGAGACGCUUGCAUCUUUCCAUGACUUUUUCUUACAAUUCUCUUCAGUGUCUUAUACACAAAUUGUUAAUACCACAACAAAGAUAUUCAGCUGUAUCUUACACAAGUCCCUUAUUAUAGAAGAGAUGCUCCAUGGAGGACAACACAGGAGGACACAUGCAUAUGUUUUUACGCAGUCACGCUGUUUCUUUGUCAAUGCACUUGACAGUAAUGUGGCAAGAAGCCUCAAAUUUAGCUGCAGUGCUAUGAAAUACAGCAGGCCCUUUAAAGACUUAAAAGUGCAAUAG
rnacentral:lncRNA from 1 species